rnacentral:lncRNA from 1 species
CCCUGGUCAAUUAAUGGUGUCUUUUAAAAAUAUCUUCAUAGCCCACAUUUCUAUUUGAUUUACAUCAUCUAGAAAAACAGGAACUCCUUGUGAGGGGAUUCUGUUCUGUUUUCUUGUGUCUCUGGUAACUAUUAGAGGUCAUAAAUGCUUAUUAUUGAGCUGAACUUUAGCCAAGGGCUGCAGCCACUUGCACGUGUAAUGUCAGCCGAGCUGAAGACUGAGCACUCCACUUGAGAGAUGCCUGGGGACGUGGUUCCAGAAGACAAGAGAACUCAGUGAUGGGCAAACAUUCGGUGCUGUCUUGCCUUGUGGUGGGGAAAAGCUUUACUCAACCUGGCUGGAACUGUCGGCAGCUUUGAAAUCACCUGCCUCAGGACAGUCCACUUAUUUUUCCUGGAUUUGUACCUGCCGGGGUGCGAUUCCUUCCCUGGUUUCCAAGCACUACUCUGUGGUACAAGAAGUAGAGCCUGUGGCCCAGGAACUCUAGCUAUGUGGAUCCAGGACUGCAGCAAUGAAGCCUGGAAUUUGAAGCCGGCCCAGGAGUACAAAAGUCCUAGAAGUGGCCCAAUGGUCAUUUGGACUUGACCUUGGCAAAAAUAAUGCUAUGAAGGAACUCAGUGAAGCUACCCGUCUAACGUGUUCUUCCCCUCCCCAGAAAUCAAGGCGGCAUGUGAGGAAUUAUUCUCUGGAAGUGUAGCUGGAGCUUUUUAUGUUUAUUUUUAUCACAGCUUGGAAGUAAAUGUAAUAUAAGAGAAUCUGAUCUGAAGCGAUUUGGGGACUAGUUAUUGACUUCUAAAAGGACAGCAGGAUUGGUAGGGGCUGAAGCCAGGUGCAGAAAGAUUGUUUAGCCCUGCAGAUUAAUGGGAUACUCUGAAAACGUACUGAGCUGGCCUCAGAGAAAAGGGCCAUAACAAAAAUAUUACAUUGGGAAGGGGAAAUGACUAGAAGUAAAUGAUCAUUAGAAAUUACUAAGGAAGGUAUUUGAAAUAGAUUAAAUGAUGGCCUAAGAAUCAAAUCUGUCCCUGACCCGUAAUUGGUGAGCAUAUAAAUGAACAUCUUUCACAUUGAGUUUAGCUUCUUAGCAUUCAUGUACUAAGUAAGUCAAGAUAGGUCACCAUCUGCAUUGAUGGAGAGAGCUUUUACACUAUAAGAACUUAAUACAAUAGAAAUGGGGUAUUUUCUAUGGCUUCAAGUAAACUAAUGAUGAUAAUUUAGGGGCAUGUAAAUUGCCCUUAACAGUAUUCCAAGCAGUUCUAUAAGGUAAUUAUUAUAACUCAUAUUAACUUACCAAAAAAAGUGAGACUCAGGAAAUCAGAAGACUUGAAUCAAUAAUAUAUCCAAUAAGUUUCAAU